rnacentral:rRNA from 1 species
GAAAGCGACGUUCAACCUCAAAAGAAGCAGAGGGGGCUUAGUGGUGGGGUGACUGCGUACCUUUUGUAUAAUGGGUCAGCGACUUAUAUUCUGUAGCAAGGUUAACCGUAUAGGGGAGCCGGAGGGAAACCGAGUCUUAACCGGGCGUUAAGUUGCAGGGUAUAGACCCGAAACCCGGUGAUCUAGCCAUGGGCAGGUUGAAGGUUGGGUAACACUAACUGGAGGACCGAACCGACUAAUGUUGAAAAAUUAGCGGAUGACCUGUGGCUGGGGGUGAAAGGCCAAUCAAACCGGGAGAUAGCUGGUUCUCCCCGAAAGCUAUUUAGGUAGCGCCUCGUGAACUCAUCUCCGGGGGUAGAGCACUGUUUCGGCUAGGGGGCCAUCCCGGCUUACCAACCCGAUGCAAACUGCGAAUACCGGAGAAUGUUAUCACGGGAGACACACGGCGGGUGCUAACGUCCGUCGUGAAGAGGGAAACAACCCAGACCGCCAGCUAAGGUCCCAAAGUCAUGGUUAAGUGGGAAACGAUGUGGGAAGGCCCAGACAGCCAGGAUGUUGGCUUAGAAGCAGCCAUCAUUUAAAGAAAGCGUAAUAGCUCACUGGUCGAGUCGGCCUGCGCGGAAGAUGUAACGGGGCUAAACCAUGCACCGAAGCUGCGGCAGCGACAUUUAGGUGUUGUUGGGUAGGGGAGCGUUCUGUAAGCCUGUGAAGGUGGCCUGUGAGGGUUGCUGGAGGUAUCAGAAGUGCGAAUGCUGACAUAAGUAACGAUAAAGCGGGUGAAAAGCCCGCUCGCCGGAAGACCAAGGGUUCCUGUCCAACGUUAAUCGGGGCAGGGUGAGUCGACCCCUAAGGCGAGGCCGAAAGGCGUAGUCGAUGGGAAACGGGUUAAUAUUCCCGUACUUGGUGUUACUGCGAAGGGGGGACGGAGAAGGCUAUGUUGGCCGGGCGACGGUUGUCCCGGUUUAAGCGUGUAGGUGUGUGUUCCAGGUAAAUCCGGUUCACUUUAACACUGAGGCGUGAUGACGAGGCACUACGGUGCUGAAGCAACAAAUGCCCUGCUUCCAGGAAAAGCCUCUAAGCAUCAGGUAACAUCAAAUCGUACCCCAAACCGACACAGGUGGUCAGGUAGAGAAUACCAAGGCGCUUGAGAGAACUCGGGUGAAGGAACUAGGCAAAAUGGUGCCGUAACUUCGGGAGAAGGCACGCUGACACGUAGGUGAAGUGAUUUACUCAUGGAGCUGAAGUCAGUCGAAGAUACCAGCUGGCUGCAACUGUUUAUUAAAAACACAGCACUGUGCAAACACGAAAGUGGACGUAUACGGUGUGACGCCUGCCCGGUGCCGGAAGGUUAAUUGAUGGGGUCAGCGCAAGCGAAGCUCCUGAUCGAAGCCCCGGUAAACGGCGGCCGUAACUAUAACGGUCCUAAGGUAGCGAAAUUCCUUGUCGGGUAAGUUCCGACCUGCACGAAUGGCGUAAUGAUGGCCAGGCUGUCUCCACCCGAGACUCAGUGAAAUUGAACUCGCUGUGAAGAUGCAGUGUACCCGCGGCAAGACGGAAAGACCCCGUGAACCUUUACUAUAGCUUGACACUGAACAUUGAGCCUUGAUGUGUAGGAUAGGUGGGAGGCUUUGAAGCGUGGACGCCAGUCUGCGUGGAGCCGACCUUGAAAUACCACCCUUUAAUGUUUGAUGUUCUAACGUGGACCCGUAAUCCGGGUUGCGGACAGUGUCUGGUGGGUAGUUUGACUGGGGCGGUCUCCUCCUAAAGAGUAACGGAGGAGCACGAAGGUUGGCUAAUCCUGGUCGGACAUCAGGAGGUUAGUGCAAUGGCAUAAGCCAGCUUGACUGCGAGCGUGACGGCGCGAGCAGGUGCGAAAGCAGGUCAUAGUGAUCCGGUGGUUCUGAAUGGAAGGGCCAUCGCUCAACGGAUAAAAGGUACUCCGGGGAUAACAGGCUGAUACCGCCCAAGAGUUCAUAUCGACGGCGGUGUUUGGCACCUCGAUGUCGGCUCAUCACAUCCUGGGGCUGAAGUAGGUCCCAAGGGUAUGGCUGUUCGCCAUUUAAAGUGGUACGCGAGCUGGGUUUAGAACGUCGUGAGACAGUUCGGUCCCUAUCUGCCGUGGGCGCUGGAGAACUGAGGGGGGCUGCUCCUAGUACGAGAGGACCGGAGUGGACGCAUCACUGGUGUUCGGGUUGUCAUGCCAAUGGCACUGCCCGGUAGCUAAAUGCGGAAGAGAUAAGUGCUGAAAGCAUCUAAGCACGAAACUUGCCCCGAGAUGAGUUCUCCCUGAGACUUUAGGUCUCCUGAAGGAACGUUGAAG